UAUUUAGUAAAUAUUUUCUUGACUCAUAAUUUCUUAAAACUUCAUUGUUGGUUAAGGGCUUGUGAGUAUGCAUUUCAUGGUAAGGUCUACACUUGUUGUAUUCGGUAUACAGUAUGUGACGAAUACAAUUUGAUUUGUUUAUGUCCUUUCCCAAUUUGACCAACCACUGACAAAACAUAAGCCAAUGAAGGGUCUGACACAGCGAUAUAAAAAAAGAAAGACAGACAUGGAAACUUCAGUUCCACAGGCCAGAACUACUCUUCCUCCUCCCUCCCUAUCGGAUUAUUUCACUCCACCUACAACUCAGAGAUGUCAAAGGGCCCAGGAUUUCUUCCCUCCACCUCCAGUGGAGUCCAUCGUGGUUGAGGAGCCCAUCUCUCGACCAGUGAAGCCAAUCGUGGUGGAGCUGCCCAUCUCUCCAGCAGUGAAACCCUUCGUGGUUGAGCUGCCCAUUUAUCCACCAUUGAAGCCCAUCAUGGUUGAGCUGCCCAUCUCUCCACCAGUGAAACCUAUCAUGGUUGAGCAGCCCGUCUCUCCACCCGUGAAGCCCAUCGUGGUCGAGCUUCCCAUCUCUCCACCAGUGAAGCCCAUCGUUGUUGAGCCAACGAUCUCUCCUCUAGUGAAGCCAAUCUUGGUUGAGGAGCCCAUCUCUCGACCAGUGAAGCCCAUCGUGGUGGAGCUGUCCAACUCUCCAGCAGUGAAACCCUUCGUGGUUGAGCUGCCCAUUUAUCCACCAUUGAAGCCCAUCAUGGUUGAGCUGCCCAUCUCUCCACCAGUGAAACCCAUCAUGGUUGAGCCGCCUACCUCUCCACCAGUGAAGCCUGUCGUGGUUGAACGGCCCAUCUCUCCACCAGUGGAGCCCAUCAUGGUUAAGCUGCCCAUCUCUCCACCAGUGAAACCCAUCAUGGUUGAGCUGCCCAUCUCUCCACCAGUGAAACACAUCAUGUUUGAACUGCCGAUCGCUCCAGUGGAAACUGAGUCGCUUCAGAGAUUUGAGGGUCUGACACAGCGACAUAAAAAAAUAAAGAAAGACGUGGAAACUUCAGUUCCACAGGCCAGAACUACUCUUCCUCCUCCCUCCCUAUCGGAUUAUUCCCCACCACCUACAACUCAGAGAUGUCAAAGGGCCCAGGAUUUCUUCCCUCCACCUCCAGUGGAUUCCAUCGUGGUUGAGGAGCCCCUCUCUCGACCAGUGAAGCCCAUUGUGGUUGAGCUGCCCAUCUCUCCACCACCUAAUCCCAUUGUGGUUGAACGGCCCAUCUCUCCACCAGUGAAGCCCAUCGUGGUCGACCAUCCCAUCUCUCCACUAGUGAAGCCCAUAAUGGUUGAGCUGCCAAUCUCUCCACCAGUGAAGCUCACAGUGGUUGAGCUGCCCAUCUCUCCACCAGUGAAGCCUGUUGUGGUUGAGCUGCCCAUCUCUCCACCAGUGAAGCACGUCAUGUUUGAGCUGCCGAUCGCUCCAGUGGAAGCUGAGUCGCUUCAGAGAUUUAAGCCAAUGAAGGGUCUGACACAGCGACAUAAAAAAAGAAAGAAAGACAUGGAAACUUCAGUUCCACAGGCAAGAACUACUCUUCCUCCUCCCUCCCUAUUGGAUUAUUUCACUCCACCUACAACUCAGAGAUGUCAAAGGGCCCAGGAUUUCUUCCCUCCACCUCCAGUGGAGUCCAUCGUGGUUGAGGAGCCCAUCUCUCGACCAGUGAAGCCAAUCGUGGUGGAGCUGCCCAUCUCUCCACCAGUGGAGCCCAUUGUGGUUGAGCUGCCCAUCUCCCCACCACCUAAUCCCAUUGUGAUUGAACGGCCCAUCUCUCCACCAGUGGAGCCCAUUGUGGUUGAGCUGCCCAUCUCUCCACCAGUGAAGCCCAUCGUGAUGGAGCUGCCCAACUCUACACCAGUGAAACCCAUCAAGGUUGAUCUGCCCAUCUCUCCACCAGUGAAACCCAUCAUGGUUGAGCUGCCCAUCUCUCCACCAGUGAAACCCAUCAUGGUUGAGCUGCCCUUCUCUCCACCAGUGAAGCCCAUCGUGGUUGAGCUGCCUAUCUCUCCACCAGUGGAGCCCAUCGCUGUUGAGCUGCCCAUCUCUCCACCAGUGAAGCCUGUUGUGGUUGAGCUGCCCAUCUCUCCACCAGUGAAACCCAUCAUGGUUGAGCUGCCCAUCUCUCCACCAGUGAAGCACGUCAUGUUUGAAUUGUCGAUUGCUCCAGUGGAAACUGAGUCGCUUCAGAGUUUUGAGGGUCAGACACAGCGACAUAAAAAAAGAAAGAAAGACAUGGAAACUUCAGUUCCACAGGCCAGAACUACUCUUCCUCCUCCCUCCCUAUCAGAUUAUUCCCCACCACCUACAACUCAGAGAUGUCAAAGGGCCCAGAAUUUCUUCCCUCCACCUCCAGUGGAGCCCAUCGGGGUUGAGGAGCACAUCUCUCCACCAGUUAAUCUCAUCGUGAUGGAGCUGCCCAACUCUCCACCAGUGAAGUCCAUUGUGGUUGAGCUGCCCAACUCUCCACCAGUGGAGCCCAUUGUGGUUGAGCUGCCCAUCUCUCCACCAGUGAAUCCCAUUUUUGUUGAGCUGCCCAUUUCUCCACUUGUGAAGCCCAUUGUGGUUGAGCUGCCCAUCUCUCCACCAGUGGAGCCCAUUGUGGUUGAGCUGCCCAUCUCUCCACCAGUGAAUCCCAUUUUUGUUGAGCUGCCCAUUUCUCCACCUGUGAAGCCCAUCAUGGUUGAGCUGCCCACCUCUCCACCAGUGAAACCCGUCGUGGUUGAACGGCCCAUCUCUCCACCAGUGAAGCCUAUCUUGGUCGACCAUCCCAUCUCUCCACCAGUGAACCAACAGGAUCAACCUGGUCAAGGGGCCAACUGGGAAAUAGAGGCUGGUUCUUCUCAGAUUGUCGAUGCUCCUGUCCAUCUCCUCUUCCCUGCUUCCUCUGAUCUCCCUCAGCAGAUCCCACAGGAGCAGCCUGGAGUCCUCACAGCAUUCCCUGGUCCUCUUGCAAACAUUGGGACUCUUGAGGAGAUGAUUGAGGUUGCAUGGCAGAAGUGUCAGGAGUACCAAUCUAAGUUCUUCAUGUGGUACUUGUUUACCCUUUUGUGCACACAGAGUAGGGCACAGGUACGUUUCUUCUUUAGAUGA
rnacentral:lncRNA from 8 species